rnacentral:rRNA from 1 species
CAUGCAAGUCGAACGGCACCCCUCUCCGGAGGGAAGCGAGUGGCGAACGGCUGAGUAACACGUGGAGAACCUGCCCCCUCCCCCGGGAUAGCCGCCCGAAAGGACGGGUAAUACCGGAUACCCCGGGGUGCCGCAUGGCACCCCGGCUAAAGCCCCGACGGGAGGGGAUGGCUCCGCGGCCCAUCAGGUAGACGGCGGGGUGACGGCCCACCGUGCCGACAACGGGUAGCCGGGUUGAGAGACCGACCGGCCAGAUUGGGACUGAGACACGGCCCAGACUCCUACGGGAGGCAGCAGUGGGGAAUCUUGCGCAAUGGGGGGAACCCUGACGCAGCGACGCCGCGUGCGGGACGGAGGCCUU